GACGAACGCUGGCGGCGUGCUUAACACAUGCAAGUCGAGCGGUAAGGCCCUUUCGGGGGGUACACGAGCGGCGAACGGGUGAGUAACACGUGGGUGACCUGCCCUCAGCUCUGGGAUAAGCCUGGGAAACUGGGUCUAAUACUGGAUAUGACUCCACGGUGCAUGUCGUGGGGUGGAAAGCCUUGUGCGGCUGAGGAUGGGCCCGCGGCCUAUCAGCUUGUUGGUGGGGUGAUGGCCUACCAAGGCGACGACGGGUAGCCGGCCUGAGAGGGCGACCGGCCACACUGGGACUGAGACACGGCCCAGACUCCUACGGGAGGGCAGCAGUGGGGGAAUCUUGCGCAAUGGGCGAAAGCCUGACGCAGCGACGCCGCGUGAGGGAUGACGGCCUGG
rnacentral:rRNA from 1 species